rnacentral:lncRNA from 1 species
UCUUGUUAUAAUUUUUUGCUUUAUUACAAAUGUGAAGUUAUACAAAUAUUGCUUUUAACACAUAGUACUGAUAGAAAAAUAUACUAUAUUUUCAAAAGUAUGUGGACACCCUUUCAAAUGAGUGGAUUCUGCUAUUUCAGCCACACCUGUUGCUGACAGGUGUAUAAAAUCGAGCACACAGCCAUGCAAUCUCCAUAGACAAACAUUGGCAGUAGAAUGGCCUUACUGAAGAACUCAGUGACUUUCAACGUGGCACCGUCAUAGAAUGCUACCUUUCCAACAAGUCAGUUUGUGAAAUUUCUGCCCUACUAGAGCUAACCCAGGCAACUUUAGGUGCUGUUAUUGUGAAGUGGAAACGUCUAGGAGCAACAACGGCUCAGCCGUAAAAGGGGUAGGCCACACAAGCUCACAGAACGCGACCGCCGAGUGCUGAAGCGCUCAGCGCGUAAAAAUUGUCUGUUCUCGGUUACAACACUCACUACCGAGUUCCAAAUUUGUUCUUGUGGCUGAAUGGAAGCAAGUCCCUGCAGCAAGGUUCCAACAUAAAGUGGAAAGCCUUCCCAGGAGAGUGGAGGCUGUUAUAGCAGCAAAGGGGGGGACCAACUCCAUAUUAAUGCCAUGAUUUUGGAAUGAGAUGUUCGACUAGAGCAGGUGUCCACAUACUUUUUGUCAUGUAGUGUCUCAAGGUUUAACAAAAUAGUAAUUGUAGCUUUUCAAUGCAUUCUGCCCCACCCCCCCACCUAAAAUUGAUUUCCAUUUAAAAUCUAUUUUCCCUAACCCCUAACCUGAACCCUAACCCUAAACCUAACCCUGAACCUAAACCUAACCCCUAAGUUUAAAAUAGCAUUUGUCCUCGUGGGGAUGUGGGAAAUGUCCCCAUGAGGGAAAAUGUUCCCUAAUUGACUACCCUUGUGAGGACUUUUGGGGGAUUUCCGGUACCCAUGAGGAUAGUGAAUAACCCCCCCCCCGCCCCAUCCCCUCCGCCCCCUCACACAAUAAUGCUAAGCUGCCGUGGCACAUUACAAGCAGGCACGGAUAGUCACCUCAUGCUAACAGCCAUCUGAAUCUCAGGUAUCCUCCCAAAAGCAUGUAAUAUAAACUCAUUAAGCCAAACUGUAAUAUAAUGAGUAAUAUAAUGAAGUUCACAUUCUAGUUACAGGAUGAUAUGACUGUCCUAUUUUUGGAAAUUGGUACACUGGUUGAAAGAUCCUCCAACGAAGCAACUGAUCAACUACAUCCCCUCAUUCCCUGGAAU